AACUYCAAASCUCUGACGCAUKAUGASGGAUCURCKRCCGAUUAGGUUGUURUUGGSGYAACGRCCCCAACAAACCCAGUAAUCGGUACGGGUUGUGGGAGCAAGAGCCCGGAGUUGGAUUCUGAGACACGAAUCCAGGCCCUACGGGGCGCAGCAGGCGCGAAAACUUUACAAUGCGGGCAACCGUGAUAAGGGAACCUCGAGUGCCUGUAUAUGCAGRMWGWMCAGGUGUCUAAAUCACACCUGAAGAAAGGGCCGGGCAAGACCGGUGCCAGCCGCCGCGGUAAUACCGGCGGCUCGAGUGGUGGCCACUUUUAUUGGGCUUAAAGCGUUCGUAGCUGGGUUGUUAAGUCUCUUGGGAAAUCCGACGGCUCAACCGUCGGGCGUCUAAGAGAUACUGGCAAUCUUGGAACCGGGAGAGGUGAGGGGUACUUCGGGGGUAGGAGUGAAAUCCUGUAAUCCUSGAGGGACCACCUGUGGCGAAGGCGCCUCACCAGAACGGCUUCGACAGUGAGGGACGAAAGCUGGGGGAGCAAMCCGGUUUAGAUACCCGGGUAGUCCCAGCCGUAAACGAUGCGCGCGCCCUUAUCGACGACCACGAGUCGUCGAGGUGCCGAAGGGAAACCGUGAAACGUGCCGCCUGGAAG
rnacentral:rRNA from 1 species